GAAAGUUAAAAAAUAAAAACGCACAGCGGGUGGGCAUUGCAGAAUGCAAAUGAAUUGUUUACAUGAGAUUAUAUGACAUAUAUACAUAUAUUGUUUUCAUUAUAUGUCGCUAGUAGUCUUGUAUUUGGUUGUAAAUAAACAGAAUUGAGAGAUGUAUUUGUGUAUUCAUUGAGAUAUGUAAACAUUUACAAAAUAAACCAGAAACAGUGCUUAUAUAUUAGCAACUUUGCAAUCAUGCUGUUGAGC
rnacentral:lncRNA from 1 species